rnacentral:rRNA from 1 species
CCCUUAGAUGUCCGGGGCCGCACGCGCGCUACACUGAAGGAAUCAGCGUGGCUUUCUCCCUGACCCGAAAGGGUUGGGAAACCCGUUGAAUCUCCUUCGUGAUAGGGAUUGGGGCUUGAAAUUGUUCCCCAUGAACGAGGAAUUCCCAGUAAGCGCGAGUCAUAAGCUCGCGUUGAUUACGUCCCUGCCCUUUGUACACACCGCCCGUCGCUCCUACCGAUUGAAUGCUCAGGUGAGCCAUUCGGACCUUCAUCAUGCCGGUUUCCGGUUUUGAUGAGGGAAAGUCUUGCGAACCUUAUCAUUUAGAGGAAGGAGAAGUCGUAACA